rnacentral:rRNA from 1 species
UACGGAGGGGGCUAGCGUUGUUCGGAAUUACUGGGCGUAAAGCGCGCGUAGGCGGACCUGCAAGUCGGUGGUGAAAGCCCGAGGCUCAACCUCGGAACUGCCUUCGAUACUGCGGGUCUCGAGUCCGGGAGAGGUGAGUGGAAUUCCUAGUGUAGAGGUGAAAUUCGUAGAUAUUAGGAAGAACACCAGUGGCGAAGGCGGCUCGCUGGCCCGGUACUGACGCUGAGGCGCGAAAGCGUGGGGAGCAAACAGG